GGAAGCCGGGUUACGGUGCCCA
rnacentral:snRNA from 1 species